UAUUUCAGGGAUUUCACAAUAGCCAUGCUCUUUGUGGUCAAUCAUCCUCAGAGCAGCCUGAGUCAAUUCCAUUCAUGACUUCCUUAGCCAUAUCUCUGAUCCUUUUUCAGGACAAAACAUUCACUACUACAUGUAUGCCGUGCCUGGCUCAAGAUUCCUAUAUGUAGCCAGGCUGCCCUACCGACACUGGCAGAAUGAAUGCUUCCUUGAACAAAGCUAACCAGAGGUGCCAUCAACUGUCUUAAUCUGAACAGGAAGGAAGCCUAGUUUUCAACAUAUACAACAGCUUGUGUGAAGCUGUCACUUUCAGGGUAUGCACCACCCAGUGUUCAUUUGUUAACAUCAAUAAUGUGUGACCACGAAAGGAAACCCUUCUGAAGAUCGAAGAUCCUGCUCGCAGCUAUGCCUCAUUGCCUACCAUGGCCAAAAUCUCUUUGAGGUUUACCGUAGUGUUCUCCGUCUGAUUGUUAUGUGUCGAGGAUGAGCUGAAUGUUACUGAUAUUGAUACCUGAUAAUGAUAUCUAAUUGUGGUCAAUGUUUAGUGUAACACCGUGACAUCUUCCAAUGCCAAAGUUUAUUUCCAACGAGCCAAAGCUUAUUUGCAUUGCAAUUACGAGCGGUAGUGUGAUGUGUGGAACGUGUAGUAUGUACGAUUGGGAACCACUUACUCUGUAACCCAAAGUGGCAUGUUUGCAUAUAUGAGAAUGUUCAGUGUUCAUCGUCUUUAGAUAAUAAAAGCAUUGGCAUACCAGGAA
rnacentral:lncRNA from 1 species